UAGGGAAUCUUCCACAAUGGGCGCAAGCCUGAUGGAGCAACACCGCGUGAGUGAAGAAGGGUUUCGGCUCGUAAAGCUCUGUUGUUAGAGAAGAACGUGCGUGAGAGCAACUGUUCGCGCAGUGACGGUAUCUAACCAGAAAGUCACGGCUAACUACGUGCCAG
rnacentral:rRNA from 1 species